rnacentral:rRNA from 1 species
AUACGGAGGGUGCAAGCGUUGUCCGGAAUCACUGGGUGUAAAGGGUGUGUAGGCGGGGCUGUAAGUCAGAGGUGAAAUCCUACGGCUCAACCGUAGAACUGCCUUUGAUACUGCAGCUCUUGAGUCUCGGAGAGGUCAUUAGAAUUCGUGGUGUAGCGGUGAAAUGCGUAGAUAUCACGAGGAAUACCAGAGGCGUAGGCGGAUGACUGGACGAGUACUGACGCUGAGGCACGAAAGCGUGCGGAGCAAACAGGAUUAGAAACCCCAGUAGUCC